rnacentral:rRNA from 1 species
GAACGAGAAAGUGGAGCAAUCCAUGAGUACAGUGGCGACCGGGUGAGUAACACGUGACCAACCUGCCCUCGAGUGGGGAAUAACUCCGGGAAACCGGAGCUAAUACCGCAUAACAUCGCAAGAUCAAAGCCGCAAGGCGCUUGAGGAGGGGGUCGCGGCUGAUUAGCUAGUUGGUAGGGUAAUGGCCUACCAAGGCGAAGAUCGGUAGCCGGCCUGAGAGGGCGCACGGCCACACUGGAACUGAAACACGGUCCAGACUCCUACGGGAGGCAGCAGUGGGGAAUUUUGCGCAAUGGGGGAAACCCUGACGCAGCAACGCCGCGUGGAGGAUGAAGUCCCUUGGGACGUAAACUCCUUUCGACCGGGACGAUACUGACGGUACCGGAAGAAGAAGCACCGGCUAACUCUGUG